rnacentral:misc_RNA from 1 species
GAAGAUGAGCGUGGCAGUGUCUAU